AAUAUUGCACAAUGGGGGAAACCCUGAUGCAGCCAUGCCGCGUGUGUGAAGAAGGCCUUCGGGUUGUAAAGCACUUUCAGUAGGGAGGAAGGUAGUGUAGUUAAUACCUGCAUUAUUUGACGUUACCUACAGAAGAAGCACCGGCUAACUCCGUGCCAGCAGCCGCGGUAAUACGGAGGGUGCGAGCGUUAAUCGGAAUUACUGGGCGUAAAGCGCAUGCAGGCGGCCUGUUAAGUCAGAUGUGAAAGCCCGGGGCUUAACCUCGGAAUUGCAUUUGAAACUGGCAGGCUAGAGUCUUGUAGAGGGGGGUAGGAAUUUCAGGUGUAGCGGUGAAAUGCGUAGAGAUCUGAAGGAAUACCAGUGGCGAAGGCGGCCCCCUGGACAAAGACUGACGCUCAGAUGCGAAAGCGUGGGGAGCAAACAGGAUUAGAUACCCUGGUAG
rnacentral:rRNA from 1 species